rnacentral:rRNA from 1 species
AGUGAACGCUGGCGGUAGGCCUAACACAUGCAAGUCGAACGGCAGCACAGUAAGAGCUUGCUCUUACGGGUGGCGAGUGGCGGACGGGUGAGGAAUACUUCGGAAUCUACUUUUUCGUGGGGGAUAACGUAGGGAAACUUACGCUAAUACCGCAUACGACCUACGGGUGAAAGCAGGGGAUCUUCGGACCUUGCGCGAUUGAAUGAGCCGAUGUCGGAUUAGCUAGUUGGCGGGGUAAAGGCCCACCAAGGCGACGAUCCGUAGCUGGUCUGAGAGGAUGAUCAGCCACACUGGAACUGAGACACGGUCCAGACUCCUACGGGAGGCAGCAGUGGGGAAUAUUGGACAAUGGGCGCAAGCCUGAUCCAGCCAUACCGCGUGGGUGAAGAAGGCCUUCGGGUUGUAAAGCCCUUUUGUUGGGAAAGAAAAGCAGCAGGUUAAUACCCCGCCGUUCUGACGGUACCCAAAGAAUAAGCACCGGCUAACUUCGUG